GGGAAGCGCUGGGAGGUGGGUGGGAGUUGUGUAGGGAGUUAGAAAAGUUGCCGAACUCCUAAAGUUCGCAGUUUCCCAGAAAGAUCUGCCUGGGUAGUAUUUAGGCGUCAUCCGCACAACUCUUCAAAUUUCAAAGUAAUGCAAUCGGGAGAUCUGGGGAGGCGCGAAGUGGGCUGGAGACCCACUUGGAAUGAUUUGUAAUCCACGAGGAACUUCGCUCAGAUGCAAACAAAAGGAACUCAGCAACUUUCUCCAAACAGCAACUCCCUUCCCCGCCUCCUUCUUUCCCCGGGCAGGACAUUACAACCAACCUAACUUCCCAAAGGAAACAACCCCAGGCAAAUAUGACACCCGAGCAAGUGACAAGCGUUAGAGGCAGCCAGGAGGGCAGCUCUGAUUGGGGAUAGAUAGCCUUGGCUCAGCCGCCUUGCGAGAGGCUGCUGGAGACUCCGAAGAUCCCGAACUGGGCCGUGCAGGAGAGUAACGGAACGGAUUGCAGAACUGCGGCCGCUGCAGCUAGCGCGGUGCGCAAUGUGGAUUCCUUAAAGCUCUUAAGUUCUCCAUCAAAGCGCGACGCAACGUACGGGAGGGAAAGUUAGAGGCUUAGGUGCAAUGCAUCUCUCCAGACCUCCGGUUCCGACGAGGACCGGAGCACACGUUGCGUGCCGCGUACGGGCAAAGGCUGAGCCCCAAGGCUGCCGAACACAUUACACGUUUUAUACUCAACACAAAAGUGUGCGAGGGACUUUAUGGAGAAAAAGCAAUGCAGCUCCAGCAGUCCGGGAGGCGGGGAAAAGAAUACAGGCAGCACGCAAUUACUUAAUGCUACACUUUAAAAACAACACACAAAGCAUCUAAUUGUAUCUGGGUUGCGUUUGUUCCACGUUCGUCCGCUUCGGAAGCACAAACAGAUCUGUCACAUGAAACAUCGAUCAAACAAGACUAGGAAGAUUAGGAAGGGAACAACACACAACACGGAUGGAAAGUCAAGAAGCCACACAAAGACAAGACACGGACGGACACCAAUUGCCAACACACAGAAACGCAGCUUCGGGUACAGAACCAAAUCCUCGCCGAUCUCCAGCGCUUGUUCUGCGGCGGGCAGUAAAAAGACUGUAUUUUUUCCACUUGAAGACUGUUCUUGGGAAAGUUUCUUCUCCAUCCGAAGGUAACCUGGACAUUGGGAGCAAAAUUGGAGGAUAUACACAGAAAAGUCCUAUGCUACCUGAAGGCAGUAUUUCAACAGCUGAGGAACACUUCCCUUUUCGGAAGAUUGUUACAGCAGCUGCCAAGUCUGAAGAAUGGUCACAGCAACUGGGCAUGGAUAAUCUAGUGAAGAGAAGACCAGGGGAGACAUGAUAGCGGUGUUCCAAUAUUUGAGGGGCUGUCCCACAGAGGAUGGGGUCAAUCUAUUUUCCAAAGCACCUGAAGGCCAGACAAGGAAUAAUGGAUGGAAACUGAUCCAGGAGAGAUUCAACCUAGAAAUAAGGAGAAGUUUUCUGGCAGUGAGAACAAUCAACCAGUGGAACAGCUUGCCCUCAGGAGUUGUGGGAGCUUCAUUACUGGAAACCAUGGAUCAGAAAUGGUUGGGCACUGGUUGGACUCAGUACCCUACAAGGUCUCUUCAACUCUGUUAUUCUGUUGUUAAGUCAACUAGAUCAGGUAACAGAGGGAACCAAUAGGAUUCCAUCUGUUUGGAAUGUAUAUUCUUUAGCUGAUAAAGCUCUCAUAGAUGUUCUUACAAAAAUACUUUCAAACCACAAUGACUUUAUAAUGGGAUGGGCAACUAUGGCAACUUUACAACCUGUGGACUUCAACUCCCAGGAAUUCUGGCAAUUGAAAUCCACAGGUCCUAAAGUUGUCUGGUUGCCCACCCCUGCUGUAUGUAAUAAAACAACAUGGAUAUAAGAAAGUCAAUAUUGGACUAGAUAAAAUUCCAGAGCAAAACAGAAUAGAAUUGGUAGAUGACAACGACCAGACCUGGAGAAGUAUUUUUUCAGUCUUGCAUGGUGUGGCUGGGAACUGAAUGGAUUUUAUCUCUUCCUUGUAAAAUAUGACUGUAAAAGUAAAUUCUGGAUCCUACAAAUGUAUAUUCUGAUUAUUUUCUUUACUUUGGGAUGUAAUUGAGUAUGGAUCUUUUGUUCUUACAUAGGAGAUGCACAAAUUCUUUUGGCUUGUAGCCUUCAUCAGAGCCAACAUCCAUUUCAGGGAAAAAUU
rnacentral:lncRNA from 1 species